rnacentral:ncRNA from 2 species
AUUUCACAUAGAGGUUGCGAUUGACAUUGCGCCUGCCGGAGCUCUUGUAGGGGUUGAUGGUAGGUUAGGGGACGUCGCCGAAAUACGUUUUAUCUACAAAUGAAACGUGUUGGGCUAAGGGUUAAGAACCGUUAGACUGUCGCACACGUGCGAUGAGCUAUGGCAACU